GGUUCGGUGGUGUAGUUGGUUAUCACGUCUGUCUCACAAUAUGAACACAGGCGGUCCCCGGUUCGAGCCCGGGUCGAACCA